CCAGAUUCUGCUAUUUCUCACGCUAUCUCCCACUCGCGGCGCCGGCGACUACACCAUUGAAACCCACAGGCCACACAGCGCAGGAACAAAAAACGGCGGCGCGAUAAGAAGGGCGCCGCUGUUGGCGCCGGGCCGGCCCGCUCCCGAGCGGUGUCCUUCUUCAGGUCCGCCCUCCGGAGCAACCCCUCUCACUUCCCCGCCGCGCCGCGUCGGACUGCGGACCCCUUGGGCUUGCGACGGUGCUGCUCAGCUGCUGCUGCUGGGGUCGGGGCUCGUGCUCGGGCGACGCGGGAUUUGAGUCGCCAUUAUUGGAUUUUUCUUCCAUUGAUUGCGAACAUUUUGUUCUGGUACGCUCUGUGUCUACUCCUGCUCGUCCUUGUCCCCCUCGUACUCGCGCCGCCGUCGUCGUCGUCGUGUCUUUGACCUUGAAUGCUAGAUUGCAUUCUUUCUUGGACGGAGGAAGCACUUAUUUGUGUAUAUUUCUACAUCUUCUAAACCCAAACCCUAGAUCGAAUCGAGUUUGUGCGCGGACCGUUCUCCGGAUCGGCUGUCGCUUCACAUAAACACCAGCAAGGUGCCGUCUCGCCGCCGUUCCAUUGCCUGGCAGUUGGCAUCGAUGGCGGCAGGGGCUGGGAACCAUGCGGUGGCGCCUGACAUGGCUUCCGAGUCAAGUUUGACCUGCUGCGGUGCUCUGCUACGCUACUCCUGAUGGAUGAAUGGAUCAUGGAUACUACCCCACUCCCCACUGGAGCCCUGAUGCUCCGCAGUGGUGAUAUCCUUCCCCCAGUGUUCUUAAGGCGCCUAGGCGAGCAAGUGGACCAGACAACCGCCUUAGCGCCUAGGCGGUGCCUAGGCGACGCCUAGGCGGGAAUGGCGAGCAAGGCGACCAGUUUUGCCCGGGCGCCUGGACGCCUAGGCGACGCCUUAAGAACACUGUCUUCCCCUGUUGUUGCCUCUUGCCUGUGGGAUAUUUAACUUUUUGCAAUCUUCUCUCCUUCACCCUGCCUUAUUUUUUCUAGGGGUGGGCACACCUGGUGGGGAGAAAUUUGUAAUUGUGUCAUUAUAAAACGUGUGUUUCGCUAGAUUGCCAUUAAAUAAAUGAGUUUUGUUCGUAUGCUAUUAUGAACAAUAACGUAUACGCUAAAAUGCCAUUUGCUUGUUUAAUAAAACAAAAAAGACUGAAUACAAUUUUGUGGAACAUUCUACCUUAUGGCCCUGCCUGAUGUCCUCUGCUCCUACUCCCGAACGAACCCAUGUUUCUAGAGAACUCGACGGUGGCCUCGAAGACCUGCUUGCUUGCAGUCGAGAAUGGCACGUCCCUGGCCACCAGCCCGAUGACCACUUGCGUAGGCCCGACAAGCAUCUCGCGUGCACUCGACGCGGAGGCUGGACCCAAGGAAUCUCAUGAGGUAGCUGCGGUUGCCGGCGGCAUGGUACAGGCGGCCGCCCAUAGGCUACAUGAGCUCGUCCUGGUACAUAGUGGAGUUGUAGUAGUCGCUGAGCUCCAGGAACGUGCGCGUGUAGGAGCCCCGGUAUGCGUCGGCGAAUGCAAACAGCCGCUCGAUGUGGUCGAGGAGGAGCGAAGACAUGUACGUCGCGUUGGCGGGCUUGUACACCAGGAACGCCGACGCGUCCCGAACUUCACGUGGUCGCCUGUGUCGUACAUGCCCCUGGAUAGGUCCAGCUUGGCAUCCUCGCCGUCGCGCAACGCCGAGUCCCCUCGCCACGAGAUCAUGUUGUUCACCAGCUUCCCGACGAGGAUGGACGCUGAAGGGCGACGACGCCGAUGAGGACAAGCAGUAGCACGCCUCCAUCGUCUGAUGAGGAUGAGCGGCGCACACUUGGCGGGAGAGCUGCAAGGCGCGGGCAACCAGCUGCAGGCGUGGCGCGGGGCCGAAGAGCACCAGCGCAAGCCCCUUGCAGGCGCGGGCUCAACACUGGAAAGAAGAAACACACGUGACGUAGAGAAAGGGAAAAGGAGGAGAGGGGCAAGACAAUCUGUUGGUUUUCUACAAUUAAAUUGGAGUUAUUUUAGUUUUUGUUAAACAACCAAAUGACAUUUUAGCGUGUACACCAUGGUUCAUAAUGGCAUCUGGAUGAAACCCAUUCAUUUGAUGGCAAUAUAGCAAAACCCACGUUUCAUAAUGACACAAUUCCAAAUUUCUCCCUGCUGGGUGCUUGUUGCCGGCGCGAAGGGUCCAACGAAGACACGGGUGCCUCCGUGCCUGCCAUAGGGUUGGCAUUGUGUGCUGCGAUCUGAUAUUCUGCUUUGAGCACAUGAUACCUUGCCACUCUGCUUUGCUCCGAAUGUUCCUAGCCGUAUGCUCCUCAUCCUCACCACCUCGGUUCAUUUGGAUGGGCAAUGCGUAAGGGAUCAGGAAUUCAGGAUCUGGAGAUAUAAAGAGGUGUUUUUCUGACUUGAGCGAAGUCCCAAGUGAAAAUUUAUUUAGUCCAACCAUGUUGGCCAUGGAAAUGGACUCGGACCGAUGAAUGGAUUGCUGAUGAGGGGCGAUGAUGUUCAACCUUUUAUAAAUUGCCUGCCAUUGAGCAAUAGUAUCUAUCAGAGCUAACCCUCUUCCCUCAUGAAGCCUAUUUUAAUCAUCCCUUUUUGUUUGUGGCUCUGACUAGGAUGGUCAUUUGGAUAUGUGACAACCAGCACAGUUCCACUUACAUUGGGAUUAGGGAUGAAAACGGAUACUUAUUCGGAUAUCAUCACCACCACACCACUCCCAUGGCGGUUUAAUCUGCUGUUUGAGUUGUUUCAUACUUUUAUUCUGUUUUGUAUUUAUGCUCUUGUGUGUUCUUAUCUGCAUGUUCUUUUGUGCCUUUUUGCAUGUCCUGUUGAUGCUGUACGCCUGCACCCUGCUCUAAGGCUGCCCUUCACUUGUCUUUCUGCUGGAUCUGGACCUGCUACCUGGGUCAAUAUUAUUGAGAAUUUGAGACUAAUAUGGCAAGUCAGUAUCAUCUCAUAUGCACCUACCUAAAUGCCCCUCAAGAAUAAAAAAAACAAGUUUCCAGUGUGGGGCAGUGAUCAAUAACUAUGGCUGACAAAAGCGCCUUGGAGCAAUCAAGGCUGCUAUGGGUACCAAACUGGAAUACUCAUGUCCAUCUCUUGGAGAUCUUUUCAAUUAGCUCUAAUGAUAGUGGCUUUGUCCCUGGAUGGUCAUGCCCUCUUCAUGUGUGAUAACCGGGGCAACUCCACUUAUCAUGUCAGGAGAAGUUGAUGUGGUGAUAAAAGAUGAUGGGGAUAAGGUUAAAUGAUUGGGCAAAGGCGAAGCUGAGCCCCCCUUUCAACACAUACAUGCAAAGAAAAGGGAAUAAGAAACAUGAGUUUAUGUUGUCUCUUCCCUUUUCUGUUGAAUAUGUUGUUGCUGUGUGUUUUCUUGUCUAACCUACAUAUUUUCUAACUCCAUUCCUUUUGUUGCAUUUGUCAAACACCAUGCAUUUACCUUUGGAUUCCAUUUAUCAGUAGGUUGAGAUGUUUCCUAGUUUCUGACAUUGAUUCUGCUAUAAUUGUUUGCAAUAGCCGUGUUUUGCAUGAUGGAUACUUUCUGAUAACUUUGUUCAUCCCAGAAUUUAUUGCAGAAUUUCAUGAGUUAUGUCUCACUACUGUUGGAACUGGGUAGUUUGGAAAUAAGAGGGCAUUGUGUUUUCCCAAUUACUUCUUCUGGUCCAUCAUAACUAUUACAGCUGUGCAGGGUGCAACAUUGGUCCGUUUUGGUAGUUCCUAUGCAUCCCUUUGUUCUUCAGAUAUUUUUUGUCGCUUGUCUGAUGGUCUUCCUUUCUUGUUUGGAACUGUUCUUCAG
rnacentral:lncRNA from 1 species